rnacentral:lncRNA from 1 species
CGAUUGGAGCCUUGAGCGUAGGUGGACUUUCCUGGAAAAAUAGGUGCCAGACAGCGGGAACGACCCCUAGGGGGUGGACGCAAACAGGUGGCAGAGCCUGGCCUAGGGCUGGUGAGAGCAGACUCUGUUGGCCUCUUUAGGAAUAUUGCCACCCUUAGCCCGCCCUGAGAUUUGCAGGUGAACUUUUUCUGGAGCUCUGUGCAAGGCGACCGCGGCUUGCAGACACUUUGGAACUCCACCCUAUCGAUGUACACCUUUAUUCAGCCUCUGUUCUCCUGACUUUUCCUUUUCCUAGAUGAAUGAACUCAGGUUCCUGAUGAAUAACAGUUGCCAAGUCACGGAAAUGUUAAGCCCACUCUACCAGACUUCAAACCCUUUGGCUGGCACUGACAGAGUUCUGGCAUGUUAUGCUGAUGGGUAUUUCCAAACAAUGGGAAAGGAGACCUUUAGUGUCUGUUUUUCUUAAUGAAUAAAAAGGCUGCAGGAUUUGGAAAAACUUUAAAAUCACAAA